rnacentral:lncRNA from 1 species
GCCCACAGAGGUGCUAUACAAGAACACAAGACAUAGCAGAUAAGACUAACCUAACACAUAAACAACAAGGUCAAACAUUCUGUAGAACUUUUUCAAUCUAAUACCACCAUCCAGAAGGAGAGAAAUUGUAUCAAGAACAAUAAUUUUUUUGCCGCCUAUAUCUGAAAAUGGAGUCAUUAUAUUCUGCAUAUCCCACAUUUGAAAAUGAACAGCCGCAGUCACCAACAAAUACAUUCUUUGAGAAAAAUAAUAUGCCAAUACUCCAACGUUAAUGAUAUAUGCAUUCCUUACACUAAGAGAAAGAAGACCAACUAUCUUCAUCAGAAGCAAGCAACAAUUGCAACAUCGAGAUUCCACAAAACAGAGCACCUCCUUCUAACUGAAUCCGAGAAACUGCAAGGUCAUGCAUAGAAAAAUCAGCCGCAGAACCUAAAGGACGUCAUCACUUAAUGGAAAUAACAAUUAAUUCUUGUUAUUCUAAGGCACAUUGUAGAUUCAUAUCAAAAACCAAGUCUCAAACAUCUAUAAUCGAUUAGAAUUUUCUUUUCAGUUUUGAUUAUAAUAGAAAUUAUGAAUCCAAUAACUUUCUAGAAAGCAAGAAGACUGUGUUAGCUUGAUAGCAUCUCAUGAUACGAUUAAAACAAACAUAACUCGAACGCGCAUCUAAAUGCUCAGUCAAUGUAACAAGUAACAAUGUAGGAAACAUCUAACAAAUUGCAAAAGCUUCUAACUAACACCACAAAAUCAAAACCUGUGCUUCUGCUAUCAACUAAGCCGAAACGAUCAUCACAUUUCCCCCCAAAAUAAUCAAACACUGUAAUUUUUAUUUUAUUUUUCAUUACAAUAAAUGAUGUAGGUUGCUGGAGAAGAAAUAUUGAACAAACAACGAAGAAAAAAGAAGAAGCUUACUCUCUAAGCUCAUCAGCAAUGAGCUCAUCAUUUCUGAAAACUUCGAAUUCACAACCUAGCUCUGCCAUAAAAUGUGGAACACCAAAUGAGUAGCAAAAAAUAAAAUCGAAACAUUAUUAUAUCUUAUGCAAUGUAAUUAAGAAUAAUGAAUCUAUAAAAUAACGAAAGAAAUUGAUAAGAAAAAUACUUAUCUGGCCAUUUAAUUAUAUAAACUCGCAUCUAUUGCUAUCCACAAAUACCCACUAUAGAAUAUUAGAGGAAAGCUAGUGAAAUAUCUUACCCUAAUCCGUAGACGGUCAGCAACCUCAGAUUGUUCAUCAUAUACCUCAUCAAUUAACUGCAACAGUUCACAGAAGAAACAAGAAGUUCACAAACAUUAAAUAUCUUCGUGAUAAUCGAAAAAUCAAAAAUAUUGCAAGGUUCAAGAACAAGAAUUUCAUAAGUAUAAAAUAUCUAUGUGAUAAGAUAAAAAUAUAUUUUUAUUCAUUUGUAGAUACAGUCACAUUGUGCUUCAGAAAAAUAAGGGGAGCAUCUUGAUCACCAGAUCCCUUGUAGUUUGCAAAGCCCUGUUCUAUUAUAUAGAUGAUAGAUGUGUGAGGAGCAAACCUGAAAUCAUCACACUCCUGCUCCGUCACUGGACUCUUACACACAACUUAGUUUUCUGUUCAUCAACAAUCUUCUCGAGCUAAANAAAAGCAACAAUUUGUUCAAUCUUCUGACAGCCAUACCCAGCACCAGGUACAUUUCUUUCUAAGGUUUAGCUUGACAUUUCAUCGAAUAGUUGGUGUACUAAUCAAUUCAUAUUUUGUUCAAUCUCCAUAGUUAAUACAACUACCAAUUUGCCUAGAUUUAUCACUUAAUUAAAAAACUACAUUAGAAUUUUCACUAACCAUCAAAUUAUCCUUCCCUUAGCAGCCGCAUGAGCAGAGCUCAAUUUUCUUCUUUUUUUUGCCUUUGUGUAAUUUGCUUCACCGGCGUUCAGUUUCCUGAGCCUCUGCCUCUGAAUUGUUUCCAUCUGCACAAAUAAGUCGAAGUUCUCCAUCAACAAAUGACUGCAUUCCAGACUCAAAAUAUAUAAAAGAUUUAUUAGUCACCCUAUUCACUUUGUGGCGGGGAAUGUCGUGCCGAUCAAUCAGAUUGAUUUUGAGGUCAUCUGCAAAUAGAAUCUAGAAACUAGAGAGAGAGAGCUUACCGGAGGUGGGAUGGUGAACGGCAGCCGCGAAAGAGAAGAACGACAGCCUUGACUAGGGCUUUUAAUUUGGGGAUGAGAAAUA